AUUGAUUGACUUCAGCCCACUGUGCCAGCAUCGUGGCACAUCUGCAAGCAGCCUAUCAAUUUUUGACGAGACAAUCUCAGAGUCCAAAGGGGCACUGCAAAAAAAUGCAGUCGGAGCAAUUGGCUGGCGGACCAGGGGUCGCUCGAGAGUGCAUCACGGAAGAGUAGCAAAAGAAGACGAUAAAAUAACCGGAGAAUAAGUCGAACAAAGCUUAAGAAAAGAACACUUGUAUGUACCUUCUCUGCAAAGGAUACACAAGUGUCUCAUUAAAAGAAAUAAAGGACAAGCCAAGCGCCGACGAAGUCCUUAAAGUCGGGACUCGAAUCCCUGGCAGACGACAAGGACGGGGAGACGGCGGAGCGGGCGAGUGCGAGCGAGAGGAGUGGCGGGCAGACUGCAAGGAAAGGGCGAUUGAAAGGCAGUCGCAACGUGAGCGACUUCAAGGACAACUACGGCCAACAACAAGAACAAGUGCCAAAAAAAUCAACGAAAAUGCGCUAUUAAGGCAAUUUUUUCGGUUGGAAUCCAACCAAUCCCCGAACUUCUCCACUCCACGAAAACCAUAGACUGCACAGGAAAAAUUUUCAGAUCAUUGGGGAAUAUAUUCUUUCGGUGUGCCCACGAUUACAGCUCUCCCCGCCAGACGGCGGCCACUGACGAUGUGAAGAGCAUUCGAGGGGAGAGCCGGGAGACUGCAGACAGGAGACUGGAGACAGGAGACAGGCGGUCGCAAAGUGGCUCAAUGUCAGACACAGACACGGGUACAGACAACGAGACACAGACACCAGACGCCUCAGCCUCAAAGUGAUUCAAAUACUCUGCUCAAACACAGGCUAGGCUCUCUUUGCGCUCUCAUCGAUGCAACAUAUAGCCCACCAAAUGCAUGGAAAUUUUCGGUAGGACACAAGCGGCAACUCGACGCGAUGGAUACCCAGUUUUCAUAAGCGGGCAUGGAUGUUUGUUCCAUGACUGUACGAAGUAAAACACUUAACUGUUCCUAUAAAUCGCUUAUAUAAUGUAAAAUAAAUUAUAUCUUUUGCACUUUAGUAUACUCAGCACUCAGAUAAGUGAAAUAUUUUUAACUUUAUUUCUGAUAUAACAGUGGAAUCAGGCGACCCUUGCACUUUCUAUCUUGGUUUAUAACAACAAUUAAAGAACGAGGAACACGAGAGACCUUUUUUUUAAGAUAUGACAGUUUUUAUGGUUUGACGUCUCAAACGAAAAAUGUUUGU